CACGCAGGCGGUGACUUAAGUGAGGUGUGAAAGCCCCGGGCUUAACCUGGGAAUUGCAUUUCAUACUGGGUCGCUAGAGUACUUUAGGGAGGGGUAGAAUUCCACGUGUAGCGGUGAAAUGCGUAGAGAUGUGGAGGAAUACCGAAGGCGAAGGCAGCCCCUUGGGAAUGUACUGACGCUCAUGUGCGAAAGCGUGGGGAAGCAAACA
rnacentral:rRNA from 1 species